rnacentral:rRNA from 1 species
AACGAACGCUGGCGGCAUGCCUAACACAUGCAAGUCGAACGAGACCUUCGGGUCUAGUGGCGCACGGGUGCGUAACGCGUGGGAACCUGCCCUUAGGUUCGGAAUAACUCCCCGAAAGGGGUGCUAAUACCGGAUAAUGUCUUCGGACCAAAGAUUUAUCGCCUUUGGGUGGGCCCGCGUUGGAUUAGCUAGUUGGUAGGGUAAAAGCCUACCAAGGCGACGAUCCAUAGCUGGUCUGAGAGGAUGAUCAGCCACAAUGGGACUGAGACACGGCCCAGACUCCUACGGGAGGCAGCAGUGGGGAAUAUUGGACAAUGGGCGAAAGCCUGAUCCAGCAAUGCCGCGUGAGUGAUGAAGGCCUUAGGGUUGUAAAGCUCUUUUACCCGGGAUGAUAAUGACAGUACCGGGAGAAUAAGCUCCGGCUAACUCCGU